CCAGAGAACUUAGCAGAGAUGCUUUGGUGCCUUCGGGAACUCUGAGACAGGUGCUGCAUGGCUGUCGUCAGCUCGUGUUGUGAAAUGUUGGGUUAAGUCCCGCAACGAGCGCAACCCUUAUCCUUUGUUGCCAGCGGCUCGGCCGGGAACUCAAAGGAGACUGCCGGUGAUAAACCGGAGGAAGGUGGGGAUGACGUCAAGUCAUCAUGGCCCUUACGGCCAGGGCUACACACGUGCUACAAUGGCGCAUACAAAGAGAAGCGACCUCGCGAGAGCAAGCGGACCUCAUAAAGUGCGUCGUAGUCCGGAUUGGAGUCUGCAACUCGACUCCAUGAAGUCGGAAUCGCUAGUAAUCGUAGAUCAGAAUGCUACGGUGAAUACGUUCCCGGGCCUUGUACACACCGCCCGUCACACCAUGGGAGUGGGUUGCAAAAGAAGUAGGUAGCUUAACCUUCGGGAGGGGCGCUUACCACUUUGUGAUUCAUGACUGGGGUGAAGUCGUAACAAGGUAGGCGUAGCGAG
rnacentral:rRNA from 1 species